GAGACGCAACCCUCGCCCGUAUGUUACUAAGUGUCAUACGGGACUGGCCGGUAAAAAGACCGGAGGAAGGUGAGGAUGAUGUCAAGUCAGCAUGACCUUUAUAUCCAGGGCUACACACACGCUACAAUGGUCUGUACAAUUGGUUGCCAAGCCGCGAGGCGGAGCCAAUCCGUAAAGCAGGCCUCAGUUCAGAUUGCAGUCUGCAACUCGACUGCAUGAAGCCGGAGUUGCUAGUAACCGCAGGUCAGCAAUACUGCGGUGAAUACGUUCCCGGGUCUU
rnacentral:rRNA from 1 species